GCUUGAUGACUAUGGUACCACAAACUUGGAAUUUCACCAGCCUGGAGACCAAGGCAGAAGUGUUAAAUCAAGGUCAAAAUGGUUUACAAAGUGAGACUCUAUAUCAAAACCCAAAAUAAAAGAGAAAAUAAUUUAUUUCCUUCAGUAAAUACUUUCUCCUUUGAUUGGCUUGUUUGGAUACAUGCUGAUCCUAGCACUGCAGAAAAGACAGAGGUGACUCUCAGAAUGACCUCAAGAAAUGGUAUUAGCCAACGAUAGCUGACCUGAGCUAUUGGGAGCUCACAAACUCUGGACUGACUGCUGGGGAUCCUGCAUGGGACUGACUGAACUAAGUCCUCUGAAUGUGGUGACAAUUAUGUGGCUUGAUCUGUUGCGGGGGGGGGGGUAUGCGUGGCAGUUGGAUCAGGACUUAUCAUGGGUGUGUUAACUGACUUUUUCAAGCUCAUUCCCUCUGCUGGGAUGGAUACCUUUCUCAAUCUUGAUGUGAGGGAGGAGCUUGGUCCUGCUUCAACUUUGCAAACCAGGUUUUGUUGACUCCCCAAGGGAGGUCUUACCCCCUCUUAGGAGUGGAUGGCGGGGGAGGUGGUGGAAUGGGAGGAAGUAGGAGGAGGAGAAGGGGAGGGAAGGGAAACUUGGUCUGGUAUGUAAAAUGAAAAAAAAUUAAAUAAAAUAAAUAUGACAACUGUAACAUGA